ensembl:miRNA
UAUUAAGUUGGUGCAAAAGUAAUUGCAGUUUUUGACAUUACUUUCAGUGGCAAAAACUGCAAUUGCUUUUGCACCAACCUAAUA